CAGAGGGUAGUUUAUUGUAAAAUACUAGUUUUGGGGGCUAGUGAUGGAGGUUCAAGCCUCCCCUUUUGA
rnacentral:tRNA from 1 species